rnacentral:rRNA from 1 species
GUCGUACGAGAAAUCCUGGGCAACUGGGAAAGUAAAGUGGCGCACGGGUGAGUAACGCGUGGGUAACCUACCCUUGGACUUGGGAUAACUCCGCGAAAGCGGGGUUAAUACCGAAUGAUAUUCCGAUUCCUAAGGGGGUCGGAAUCAAAGGUGGCCUCUGCAUGCAAGCUAUUGUCCGAGGAUGGGCCCGCGUACCAUUAGCUCGUUGGUAGGGUAACGGCCUACCAAGGCAACGAUGGUUAGCUGGUCUUAGAGGAUGGCCAGCCACACUGGAACUGAGACACGGUCCAGACUCCUACGGGAGGCAGCAGUGGGGAAUCUUGCGCAAUGGGGGAAACCUUGACGCAGCAACGCCGCGUGGGUGAUGAAGGCCUUCGGGUCGUAAAGCCCUGUCAGGUGGGAAGAAACAUGUCGGUGCUAAUAUCACCGACGUUUGACGGUACCGCCGGAGGAAGCACCGGCUAACUCCGUGCCAGCAGCCGCGGUAAUACGGAGGGUGCAAGCGUUGUUCGGAAUUACUGGGCGUAAAGCGCGUGUAGGCGGUCGGGCAAGUCAGAUGUGAAAGCCUUCCGCUCAACGGAAGAAGUGCAUUUGAAACUACCCGGCUGGAGUACGGGAGAGGAGAGUGGAAUUCCCGGUGUAGAGGUGAAAUUCGUAGAUAUCGGGAGGAACACCAGUGGCGAAG